rnacentral:rRNA from 1 species
AUUGAACGCUGGCGGCAGGCCUAACACAUGCAAGUCGAGCGGGAACUUCGGUUCUAGCGGCGGACGGGUGAGUAAUGCGUAGGAAGCUACCCGAUAGAGGGGGAUACCAGUUGGAAACGACUGUUAAUACCGCAUAAUGUCUACGGACCAAAGUGUGGGACCUUCGGGCCACAUGCUAUCGGAUGCGCCUACGUGGGAUUAGCUAGUUGGUGAGGUAAUGGCUCACCAAGGCGACGAUCCCUAGCUGGUUUGAGAGGAUGAUCAGCCACACUGGAACUGAGACACGGUCCAGACUCCUACGGGAGGCAGCAGUGGGGAAUAUUGGACAAUGGGCGAAAGCCUGAUCCAGCCAUGCCGCGUGUGUGAAGAAGGCCUUCGGGUUGUAAAGCACUUUCAGCGAGGAGGAAGGGGUUGUAGUUAAUAGCUGCAACCUUUGACGUUACUCGCAGAAGAAGCACCGGCUAACUUCGUGCCAGCCGCCGCGGUAAGAC